GGAGUUGUGGCUCAGUGGCAGAGCAUCUGCUUUACAUGCAGAAGGUCUUAGGUUUAAGACCUGGCAUCUCCA